rnacentral:rRNA from 1 species
UUGCCCUAGUAACGGCGAGUGAAGCGGCAACAGCUCAGAUUUGAAAUCUGGCGCCUUUGGCGUCCGAGUUGUAAUCUGUAGAGGAUGCUUUUGGGUAGCCACCGGUCUAAGUCCCCUGGAACGGGGCGUCACAGAGGGUGAGAAUCCCGUAUGUGACCGGAAGGGCGCCCUCCACAUAGCUCCUUCGACGAGUCGAGUUGUUUGGGAAUGCAGCUCUAAAUGGGAGGUAAAUUCCUUCUAAAGCUAAAUACCGGCCAGAGACCGAUAGCGCACAAGUAGAGUGAUCGAAAGAUGAAAAGCACUUUGGAAAGAGAGUUAAAAAGCACGUGAAAUUGUUGAAAGGGAAGCGCUUGCAACCAGACUUGUUGGCGGUGUUCCGCCGGUCUUCUGACCGGUCUACUCACCGUCUGCAGGCCAGCAUCAUCUGGGGCCGCUGGAUAAAAGCGAGGGGAAUGUGGCUCCCCCGGGAGUGUUAUAGCCCCUCGUGCAAUACAGCGAGCCUCGGGUGAGGUCCGCGCUUCGGCUAGGAUGCUGGCGUAAUGGUCGUAAGCGGCCCGUCUUGAAACACGGACCAAGGAGUCUAACAUCUAUGCGAGUGUUCGGGUGUCAAACCCCUACGCGUAAUGAAAGUGAACGGAGGUGGGAGCCUUAGGGUGCACCAUCGACCGAUCCUGAUGUCUUCGGAUGGAUUUGAGUAAGAGCAUAGCUGUUGGGACCCGAAAGAUGGUGAACUAUGCCUGGAUAGGGUGAAGCCAGAGGAAACUCUGGUGGAGGCUCGCAGCGGUUCUGACGUGCAAAUCGAUCGUCAAAUUUGGGUAUAGGGGCGAAAGACUAAU